CCUACGGGAGGCAGCAGUGAGGAAUUUUGCGCAAUGGGGGAAACCCUGACGCAGCAACGCCGCGUGAGUGAUGAAGGCUUUCGGGUCGUAAAGCUCUGUCAAGUGGGAAGAAAAUGCAUUUGGCCAAUACCCAUGUGCACUGACGGUACCACUAAAGGAAGCACCGGCUAACUCCGUGCCAGCAGCCGCGGUAA
rnacentral:rRNA from 1 species